UACGUAGGGACCAAGCGUUUGUUCGGAUUUACUGGGCGUAAAGGGCGCGUAGGCGGCGUGUUAAGUCACUUGUGAAAUCUCUAAAGCUUAACUUAGAACGGGUCAAGUGAUACUGAUGUGCUAGAGUGCAGAAGGGGGCAACCGGGAAUUCUUGGUGUAGCGGUGAAAUGCGUAGAUAUCAAGAGGAACACCCUGAGGUGAAGACGGGUUGCUGGGCUGACACUGACGCUGGAGGCGCGAAAGCUAGGGUAGCAAACGGG
rnacentral:rRNA from 1 species